rnacentral:rRNA from 1 species
UCAGUUAAAACGCUCGUAGUUGAAUAUCUGCUAUAUGUGGGCGGUCCACUUCGGUGUGAUCCGUUUCACGACAUAGCAUUCGUUUGCUUUGAUUUAUCGUUGCAAACCGUUUACUUUGAGGAAAUUAGAGUGUUCAAAGCAGGCAAGUGCCUUGAAUACUUCAGCAUGGAAUAAUUGAUAGGACUUCCGUUCUGUCGUUGGUUCUGGGAAUGUGAAGUAAUGAUUAAAAGGGGCGGGCGGGGGCAUUCGUAUUGAACAGUCAGAGGUGAAAUUCUUAGAUUUCUUCAAGACGAACUACUGCGAAAGCAUUUGCCAAGUACGUUCCCAUUAAUCAAGAACGAAAGUUAGGGGAUCGAAGACGAUCAGAUACCGUCGUAGUCUUAACUAUAAACUAUGCCGACUAGAGAUUGGAGGUGAGUCUUUUGGCCACCUUCAGCAUCUUCAGAGAAAUCUAAGUUUUUGGGUUCUGGGGGGAGUAUGGUCGCAAGGCUGAAACUUAAAGGAAUUGACGGAAGGGCACCACCAGGAGUGGAGCCUGCGGCUUAAUUUGACUCAACACGGGGAAACUCACCAGGUCCAGACAUGGGAAGGAUUGACAGACUGAUAGCUCUUUCUUGAUUCUAUGGGUGGUGGUGCAUGGCCGUUCUUAGUUCGUGGACUGAUUUGUCUGGUUGAUUCCGAUAACGAGCGAGAUCUUAACCUGCUAACUAGGUCUUCAGAAUGCGUUCUGAUGUGUCUUCUUAGAGGGACUUUGCAUAUUUAGUGUAAGGAGGUUUGAGGCAAUAACAGGUCUGUGAUGCCCUUAGAUGUUCUGGGCUGCACGCGCGCUACAAUGACACUCUCAGCGAGUUUCCUUUUCCGAAAGGGUUGGGUAAUCUUGUUAGUGAAUGUCGUAAUGGGGAUAGAAUAUUGUAAUUAUUGCUCUUAAACGAGGAAUUCCUAGUAAGCGCAAGACAACAGCUUGCGCUGAUUACGUCCCUGCCCUUUGUACACACCGCCCA